rnacentral:rRNA from 1 species
UACGUAGGGUGCAAGCGUUAAUCGGAAUUACUGGGCGUAAAGCGUGCGCAGGCGGUUAUGUAAGACAGAUGUGAAAUCCCCGGGCUCAACCUGGGAACUGCAUUUGUGACUGUACGGCUAGAGUGCGGGCAGAGGGGGAUGGAAUUCCGCGUGUAGCAGUGAAAUGCGUAGAUAUGCGGAGGAACACCGAUGGCGAAGGCAAUCCCCUGGGCCUGCACUGACGCUCAUGCACGAAAGCGUGGGGAGCAAACAGG